rnacentral:rRNA from 1 species
UAACCUGCCUUGGAGUGGGGAAUAACAGUUGGAAACAGCUGCUAAUACCGCAUAAUAUGUCUGUGUCGCAUGGCACUGGGCAUCAAAGAUUUAUCGCUCUGAGAUGGACUCGCGUCUGAUUAGCUAGUUGGCGGGGUAACGGCCCACCAAGGCGACGAUCAGUAGCCGGACUGAGAGGUUGGCCGGCCACAUUGGGACUGAGACACGGCCCAGACUCCUACGGAAGGCAGCAG